GGAGAAGUACUCAAGUGGCUGAAGAGGACGGUUUGCUAAACCGUUAGGCUGGGUAUACUGGUGCGAGGGUUCGAAUCCCUCCUUCUCCGCCA
rnacentral:tRNA from 1 species